rnacentral:rRNA from 1 species
UACGUAGGGGGCGAGCGUUGUCCGGAAUCAUUGGGCGUAAAGCGCGUGUAGGCGGCCCGGUAAGUCCGCUGUGAAAGUCCAGGGCUCAACCCUGGGAUGCCGGUGGAUACUGUCGGGCUCGAGUCCGGAAGAGGCGAGUGGAAUUCCUGGUGUAGCGGUGAAAUGCGCAGAUAUCAGGAAGAACACCAAUGGCGAAAGCAGCUUUCUGGGACGGUACUGACACUGAGGAGCGAAAGCGUGGGGAGCGAACAGG